rnacentral:tRNA from 2 species
UCGGGAUAGCUCAGUUGGUAGAGCAG